rnacentral:rRNA from 1 species
AGCAGCCGCGGUAAUUCCAGCUCCAAUAGCGCAUAUUAAAGUUGUUGCAGUUAAAAAGCUCGUAGUUGAAUUUCGGGGUUCUACCGUUGGUCGGGCUUUGUCUGUACUGGCGUGUAGAAUUUCUACCUUCUGGGGAACCAUCAUGUUAUUAAUUUAGCGUGGUAGGAAACCAGGACCUUUACCUUGAAAAAAUUAGAGUGUUCAAAGCAGGCUUAUGUCUGAAUACAUUAGCAUGGAAUAAUAGAAUAGGACGGUGGUCCUGUUUUGUUGGUUUCUGAAUCACCGUAAUGAUUAAUAGGGAUAGUUGGGGGCAUUAGUAUUCAAUUGUCAGAGGUGAAAUUCUUGGAUUUAU